AUUGAACGCUGGCGGCAUGCUUUACACAUGCAAGUCGAGCGGCAGCGCGGGGGCAACCUUGGCGGCGAGCGGCGAACGGGUGAGUAAUGCAUCGGAACGUAUCCUGUAGUGGGGGAAUAACUCACCGAAAGGUGAGCUAAUACCGCAUAAGCUCUGAGGAGGAAAGCGGGGGACCGAAAGGCCUCGCGCUGCAGGAGCGGCCGAUGUCCGAUUAGCUAGUUGGUGAGGUAAAGGCUCACCAAGGCGACGAUCGGUAGCUGGUCUGAGAGGAUGAUCAGCCACACUGGGACUGAGACACGGCCCAGACUCCUACGGGAGGCAGCAGUGGGGAAUUUUGGACAAUGGGGGAAACCCUGAUCCAGCCAUGCCGCGUGAGUGAAGAAGGCCUC
rnacentral:rRNA from 1 species